UUUAGAUAAAGCAGAUUUUACAAAAUAGUCUGCAAGUUUAUUAAUAUAUGGCAUAUUCAUACUGAAAAUUGGUUAGAUAAUAAAUUUCUUAGAGAACUUGUAAGAAAAUAGUAUAAGCAUGCCGAUUGGUUUAUAUAUUGAAACAAAGUGAAUCUUUUAAUAAUAUUAUUUAUAAUAGUAAUAAACAAUUAUAACCGAUGUAAACUCUAAUGAUAUGAUUUUUAUAAUUCUAAAUAUAGUACAAUAAUAUAUUUAAUCAGCAUCUGAGUGAGAAAUUGUACGAUAGUGCUAUUAUUAUAAAAAAAUUAUCUUGUAACCAAUUAUAAUAAAAAAGUUUGGUACAGGAGUUAUUAAAACAAUAGCAUUGGAUGCUCGAACAGAUUUUUUGGCAGUGCGAUCAGGAACUUAUAAAUGUCGUGAAAAAACAAAAGAAAGGAUAAUAGAUCGUAAUUGUCAUAUUGAAUCUUUAUGGAACACCAUUGAUAAAAACUUGAAUGACCCUAAAAUAAUUGAGUCAAAAAACUUAUUGGAAAUUAUUGACACGUUACCUCUAAUCGUGACACUAAAAAGACAAGAACAUGAAAAUAUGAAAAAAAUGAUAGAUAAUGUGAUAACUAAAGAAGGAAAGCUACUCAAAAAUGAAAAAAUCAUGUAUUUAGGAAUUACUGAGAUAGAUAGUGAAGAAUCAAUAAUUGAAAAACUAAUAAAAAUACGUCGACAUUGCUUUCAAUAUCAACAUGAUUUACAAUUCGUAUUGGUUAAUCUAUUAAAUUAUGAGACAUCAUAAUGACAAUAAUACAUGACAUGUAAAUCUACUCUGUUUAAAAAAUCCGAUAGAUUCUUAUAGCCAAGGUAUAAGGUCCUAUACUUAACUAUAGCAGUUCUCAUAGAACUUAUUCAUUCUUAUAAAAUGUCUAUGGGAAUUUAUAAGAACUUAUUGGAUUCUAUAAGAUUUUCUAAACAGGCAGGUUAGACGACCGUCGUCAGAUCCAACAGCAUACAGUGGAGGGUUCAACGACACCUCAAAACUGCCAUUUGAAGCAAAUGGCAGGUUCGAAGGCUAUAUAUACAGUUAAACGUUCAAGACAUAAAAAUUUAUAAACAUAUAUCGCAUAUUUGACGACAUCAAUUUUGAAUAAGAUGGCAGGUUUCGCGACAUUUGCUGAAUCGACGACAAAUUUCAAACCGAUAAAAAUUGUAAACGGCAGUUUUGACGACAUCUAUCAGUAUCAUACGGCAGGUUUAACGACAUUUGGCAGAUUUGACGACCGUUGUCGAAGCCAGUGGUAUACAGAGAUGGGUUUGACGAUAUCGGUACACAUCAAAAACUUUGUAAAAUGCCCUAUUAAUCAUUAAAAUUGGUCGAUUAAUUUAAAUGAUAUUGACAGAAAAAAACUAACAAAGUUACAAUUUACGUCAUUUGUUCAGGAUAACUCAUAAUAUGAUUGACCAAAUGUAUCAAAAACUACACCGGGCCGAUGACUAUAGUUUUUCCCGAUCAUCACAUUGUUUAGUGUAAUCGGUUCACUAGUUUAUAUAUAAUCGACUAAAAAUUUUAAAAUCAUUAGUUUUUCAUUCGUCACGGAUAACUUAAAAAUAACUCUAUCUGAUUCGAAACUCAUUUAGUUCUCCACCUUAAAAUCCAAUUAAAAAUAACCCACAAGCUUUUCUUACCUCUCAAUCAAGUUAAGACUAGAUAAUAUAUUUAUUAUUUAUAGAUUCUAUCACUAUAUGAAAUACUUACUAAGAAUUUCGGAUUUAAUUAUUGUUCCGAAGUUAUAAUAAAUCAGAAUGCAAUUUCAAUCAAUGAAGAUUAGAGCCUGGAUUUUUGCUAUAAUUUAAAAACAAUAUGCAAUAAUUAAUGGUGUGAAAUUUUUGAUAUUACGGCCAAAAUAUUAGUCGUAUAAAAAUUUUUUUUUUACAAAAGUUGUAGUAAAUUCAAUUUUAUAAAAACAAUGUCUCUUCUAAUUUUUUUUUAGGACUAUUA